AGUUCCUCUGCAUGGAAAAUGACACUUUUAAAUAUCAAACUCAUUGCUUGGGCAUACUCUAUGAUGACAUUAGGGACUGAAAUGCUGAAUUCUGUCUUUGGUUUCUACUAUGUGAAACUUUUUCUACAUCUGUACAAGAUUUCAGAAGUGGCCUUUUAUCAAGCCCAGGCUGUUGCCAUCGUCAUUGCUUUCCUUGCUGCUGCCAGCCUUUACGCUGGGAUGUAUCACGUGAGGCGUUUCGAACCUAAAAGAAGCCCCAAAGAGAACCUCCUCUUGGAAUCUGAACAGGAUCUCACCUGGACUCCUGUCAUUUUUUCCAUAUUCUCAUUCCCAGAGAUGUACUAUCUUCUUCUAUAAGGAGCAUUAUGUACGGG